AUGAACGCUGGCGGCGUGCCUAAUACAUGCAAGUCGAGCGAACGGACGAGAAGCUUGCUUUUCUGAUGUUAGCGGCGGACGGGUGAGUAACACGUGGAUAACCUACCUAUAAGACUGGGAUAACUUCGGGAAACCGGAGCUAAUACCGGAUAAUAUUUUGAACCGCAUGGUUCAAAAGUGAAAGACGGUCUUGCUGUCACUUAUAGAUGGAUCCGCGCUGCAUUAGCUAGUUGGUAAGGUAACGGCUUACCAAGGCAACGAUGCAUAGCCGACCUGAGAGGGUGAUCGGCCACACGGGAACUGAGACACGGUCCAGACUCCUACGGGAGGCAGCAGUAGGGAAUCUUCCGCAAUGGGCGAAAGCCUGACGGAGCAACGCCGCGUGAGUGAUGAAGGUCUUCGGAUCGUAAAACUCUGUUAUUAGGGAAGAACAUAUGUGUAAGUAACUGUGCACAUCUUGACGGUACCUAAUCAGAAAGCCACGGCUAACUACGUG
rnacentral:rRNA from 1 species